UACGAGGGGUGCAAGCGUUGUCCGGAUUUACUGGGCGUAAAGCGUUUCGUAGGCGCUAUGGUAAGUUAUGCUUCAAAGACCGAGGCUCAACCUCGGGAAGGGGCGUAAUACUGCCAAAGUUGAAAUAUUUCGGGGUUACUGGAACUAUCGGUGUAGGGGUGAAAUCCGUUGACAUCGAUAGGAACUCCAAGGGCGAAGGCAGGUAACUAGGAAUUAUUUGACGCUGAGGAACGAAAGCUAGGGGAGCGAAAGGG
rnacentral:rRNA from 1 species